rnacentral:rRNA from 1 species
UAGCGGCGGACGGGCGAGUAACGCGUGGGUAACCUGCCUCAUACAGGGGGAUAACCGUUGGAAACGGCUGCUAAUACCGCAUAAGCACACAGUGCCGCAUGGUACGGUGUGAAAAACUCCGGUGGUAUGAGAUGGACCCGCGUCUGAUUAGGUAGUUGGUGAGGUAACGGCCCACCAAGCCGACGAUCAGUAGCCGACCUGAGAGGGUGACCGGCCACAUUGGGACUGAGACACGGCCCAAACUCCUACGGGAGGCAGCAGUGGGGAAUAUUGGACAAUGGGGGAAACCCUGAUCCAGCGACGCCGCGUGAGUGAAGAAGUAUUUCGGUAUGUAAAGCUCUAUCAGCAGGGAAGAAAAUGACGGUACCUGACUAAGAAGCCCCGGCUAACUACGUGCCAGCAGCCGCGGUAAUACGUAGGGGGCCAAGCGUUAUCCGGAUUUACUGGGUGUAAAGGGAGCGUAGACGGCACUGCAAGUCUGGAGUGAAAGCCCGGGGCUCAACCCCGGGACUGCUUUGGAAACUGUGGUGCUAGAGUGCAGGAGAGGUAAGUGGAAUUCCUAGUGUAGCGGUGAAAUGCGUAGAUAUUAGGAGGAACACCAGUGGCGAAGGCGGCUUACUGGACUGUAACUGACGUUGAGGCUCGAAAGCGUGGGGAGCAAACAGGAUUAGAUACCCUGGUAGUCCACGCCGUAAACGAUGAAUACUAGGUGUUGGGGAGCAAAGCUCUUCGGUGCCGCCGCUAACGCAAUAAGUAUUCCACCUGGGGAGUACGUUCGCAAGAAUGAAACUCAAAAGNAAUUGACGGGGAACCGCACAAGCGGUGGAGCAUGUGGUUUAAUUCCAAGCAACGCGAAGAACCUUACCAAGUCUUGACAUCGGAAUGACCGGGAUGUAACGAUCCCUUCCCUUCGGGGCAUUCNAGACAGGUGGUGCAUGGUUGUCGUCAGCUCGUGUCGUGAGAUGUUGGGUUAAGUCCCGCAACGAGCGCAACCCUUAUCCUUAGUAGCCAGCAAGUCAAGUUGGGCACUCUGGGGAGACUGCCAGGGAUAACCUGGAGGAAGGUGGGGAUGACGUCAAAUCAUCAUGCCCCUUAUGAUUUGGGCUACACACGUGCUACAAUGGCGUAAACAAAGGGAAGCAAAGGAGCGAUCUGGAGCAAACCCCAAAAAUAACGUCUCAGUUCGGAUUGUAGUCUGCAACUCGACUACAUGAAGCUGGAAUCGCUAGUAAUCGCGGAUCAGAAUGCCGCGGUGAAUACGUUCCCGGGUCUUGUACACACCGCCCGUCACACCAUGGGAGUUGGUAACGCCCGAAGUCAGUGACCCAACCGUAAGGAGG